GGGGGAGUUCUCCACUAUUGCCAUGUGUCCAUAGCUUGUUAAGUCUCAUCAGGACUGCUUGGAUCCUCUUCCUUCAUGGCCUGCUGCCAGAUGAAUGAUCCUCCUUUGUCAUGUCUUUGAGCCAAGAUGUCUCUGCUUUGCCAUGGCCCUAAAAGCAAUGGCACUGACUGGCUGAUCACGGGCUGAAAAAUCUUGGAACCCGCAGGGUGAUUACUCCAGAGACCUUGGGAGUUUCAAGACAACUGAAAGAAAGAGGAUAUCUUGAAAAAGAUAGACUGGUCAUCCCGCCGGGACUCUCCUGUAGACCACAUUAUUGACUUCAAGGCAAUAGGCCAUGAAAGUGCUUUUCUUCAAGACAGUAAACCCUCUGUUUUUGGAAGUGAAUGGGGGAAAAGAAGGCCCUUUUGGUUCCCCCUAUCAGUUUUCAGAAAUGAGUAAAUUGUACAAUGCAUUUCAAACUAUAAUGCUACCAAAUAUCACUUACCAGUACCUGGAUGGUUUAGAAGCUUCUUGGGGAAUCUCAUCAAGAUAAACAGAAAAUGCUCUGUACUGCAUCAG